UGAACGCUAGCGGCAGGCCUAACACAUGCAAGUCGAGGGGUAACAGUUCCAAGCAAUUGGAAGCUGACGACCGGCGCACGGGUGCGUAACGCGUAUGCAACCUACCUUUAACUGGGAGAUAGCCCGGAGAAAUCCGGAUUAAUAUCCCAUAAUAUUUAAGAAUGGCAUCAUUUUUAAAUUAAAGCUUCGGCGGUUUUAGAUGGGCAUGCGUGACAUUAGUUAGUUGGUGAGGUAACGGCUCACCAAGACGGCGAUGUCUAGGGGUUCUGAGAGGAUUAUCCCCCACACUGGUACUGAGACACGGACCAGACUCCUACGGGAGGCAGCAGUGAGGAAUAUUGGUCAAUGGACGAAAGUCUGAACCAGCCAUGCCGCGUGCAGGAUGACGGCCCUAUGGGUUGUAAACUGCUUUUAUAUGGGAAGAAACCUUUCUACGUGUAGAGAGCUGACGGUACCAUACGAAUAAGGACCGGCUAACUCC
rnacentral:rRNA from 1 species